CCUACGGGUGGCUGCAGUGGGGAAUAUUGGGCAAUGGGCGCAAGCCUGACCCAGCAACGCCGCGUGAAGGAAGAAGGCUUUCGGGUUGUAAACUUCUUUUCUUAGGGACGAAGAAUGUGACGGUACCUCAGGAAUAAGCCACGGCUAACUACGUGACAGAAGCCGCGGUAAUACGUAGGUGGCAAGCGUUCUCCGGAUUUAUUGGGUGUAAAGGGCGCGUAGGCGGGCAAGCAAGUCAGAUGUGAAAACUCAGGGCUCAACCCUGAGCCUGCAUUUGAAACUGUUUUUCUUGAGUGCUGGGGAGGCAAUCGGAAUUCCGGGUGUAGCGGUGAAAUGCGUAGAUAUACGGAGGAACACCAGUGGCGAAGGCGGAUUGCUGGACAGUAACUGACGCUGAGGCGCGAAAGCGUGGGGAGCAAACAGGAUUAGAUACCCUGGUAGUC
rnacentral:rRNA from 1 species